GGGCUCGUAGCUCAGCUGGUAGAGCGUUCGCGUCCGAAGCGUAGGCGGCGUCCAUGCGUGGGUUCGAAUCUCACCGAGGCUA
rnacentral:tRNA from 1 species